ensembl:lncRNA
CGCUUCAGCUCCAAGAGGAGAGAAAGAUGAAUGAGUCCGGGUGCCGUGGAAUCCAGUGGCGGUGGAGUCAUAUUGUCUGUGUGUAAACACUCGAUAGAGCUUUGCAUUGUCACACCCCCUGCGUGGGCGGACUUACCGAGGCAGAUCUGGGACCAGGAAGCACUAAGCCACGGCCCUGCGGACUCUCUCUGUCCUUCCGGCUCUGACGUGGAACCAGAGGUGACGCAGGACGUCAACCUCAAAAUCGUUGAGCUCACGUCCGUGGAACCGAAGGAGAG